rnacentral:rRNA from 1 species
CCUACGGGUGGCAGCAGUGGGGGAUAUUGCACAAUGGGGGAAACCCUGAUGCAGCGACGCCGCGUGAGUGAAGAAGUAUUUCGGUAUGUAAAGCUCUAUCAGCAGGGAAGAAAAUGACAGUACCUGACCAAGAAGCUCCGGCUAACUACGUGCCAGCAGCCGCGGUAAUACGGAGGGGGCAAGCGUUAUCCGGAUUUACUGGGUGUAAAGGGAGCGUAGACGGUUAUGUAAGUCUGGAGUGAAAGCCCGGGGCCCAACCCCGGGACUGCUUUGGAAACUGUUGAACUGGAGUACAGGAGGGGCAGGCGGAAUGCCUGGUGUAGCGGUGAAAUGCGUAGAUAUCAGAAAGAACACCGAUGGCGAAGGCAGCCUACUAAACUGAAACUGACGUUGAGGCACGAAAGCGUGGGGAGCAAACAGGAUUAGAUACCCGAGUAGUC